rnacentral:lncRNA from 1 species
AAAAAUCAUGCAAAAUAAAAUUAAAUUCUCCAAAGAAAAAAUAGAUGAUCUGAUGGACUCAACGACAAAUGUUAGUUCCGAUGAAGAAGGGAAAAUAAUUUCGGAAUGUGAUGGGGAAGAAAGCCCGAUCGGAGAUACAGAGGUUUAUGAAAAUGGAAAUAAACAUAACUCUGAAUUAGUAAUUAUGAAGGGCUUAGUGAUGCAAUGGAGGUUGGAGAACAGAAUUAUAAUAUGAGCAUCGAAAUGGUGGAAGGGAAGGAAGGAGGAGGAAAAAAAGAAGAAUCGAAUGCUAACAAAGAACAUAAUUUUAAUGGGUUGGAUCUGGUCCUAUUCAAUGAGGUAUUAAAAGAGGUUCAUCCGAUCAAAUAGG